rnacentral:lncRNA from 1 species
GGCCUGGAUGGUAUGGAGAUUUCUCGAACCUAGAACACUGAGAAUCUAUAGAUGUAUUAUCAAUAAGAACACCUUAUAAAUAAAAAAAUUUUUCCUACAAUUUUGUAUUAAACAACUCAACUCUUGGAGGCUGAACACUCGAUCGAAUUAGAGGUCACCUCGAUCGGGUCUAAGGUGUGAUGAUGGGGACUCUUGGUUAAGGACCAAAGCCGCCUUGGCGAG